CUGGGCUCGAGCGAUCCUCUCACCUCAGCCUCCUGAGUAGCUGGGACUACAGCUGUGCCUUAACUUCCUCGAAAGACAACAUCAGUGCUGGCGGGCCUCAAGAAGAGCCAUCCCAAGGUAUUGACUAGGCAUCAGCGUCUUCACCAGGGCAACACAGAACAUCCCUGCAGAGUUCCUGGUGGCUGCAGUGGCUGGUAGGGGAUGUAUGCCUGCUUUCCAUCAGAUUCCCAAAGCGGAGCCCCUGGAGGCUUUGGCCCAUGGCCCUGAAGCUCCCUUUCACAAGGAAGAAAGACUUUGCAAAGCCAACACCACUAUUGGAGAGAAAGUGGAGAAUGUGUAUUAGAAGUACUAGUCUUUGAAGGCAAAACAGCUGUAUAGAGUGAGCUUAAGUGCUGGAUCCCUGUGGUUAGGAAGGGACACUAAGCCUCCGGGAUGUGAGAGUCCCAUGGAAGGCAGUAGGCCCAGGAUAAAGCAGGUGUCAGCUCAGAAAGCCCACCAUCACCCAGAAAAGGGAAGAAAUACGCUACCACCAUCACUCUUUCUGCCAAUGACUUCUUUGCACACCUCCACCCUAUCUCCUGGCUCAGUCUCCCAUGUUCUCAUAGCUAGGGAGGUCUCCAUUGUAAUUUGUAUGGGGAGGUUAACCUAUAGGCCAUUCUGAUGAUCCCAGCUCCCUUUCACUACAACCCCCGUCUGCAUCCUUUGCUUUGCAGUAGGAUUUGAGAGAGGAAGGAUGAAGAUGUAGCCACAGGAUACAUUUAAACAGGCACAGAGUUUGAGGGGUGGGGGGGAACAAAAGCAAA
rnacentral:lncRNA from 1 species